GAUACAGUUAUGACUGUCUUUGAAAUCCAACUUCUCUGGGUCUUUUCUUGUCUUGCAGGCAUUAAUGUUUCGAAAUCGCAUGUCGCUAAAUGUUGCCAAAAUGGAGCUCCUGGUGAUUGUCUCCUUAAAUUUACUGAGAAAUGCCAGUCAUAUUCUUCUGGCCUUUGGUGACCUUCAGUUCUAUUUCAAACAGAAUCAUUCCUGCACCUAGGAAGCCUCAGAAAAGCUGCCUUCACAUGCUCCAUUUGCACUCAACAUGAUCUUUUCUGUUUUAAGUCACUUGCCAAGUAGACAGAAAUGUGUUCACAAGCUAUCCGAUCUGAUCACCAGAAGAUUAUAUGAAGAUGAUGCCUGCUGUAUUACAAGAAAAGUGGACUAACUAAAGAAAAUCUGACUUUAGUUUAGAAGGAUGAAAAUUCAAUUACUUUCCAGAAAUCAGUGAUUCUGUAUUUUUCCUCAAAGUUUAGGUGCUGUUAGUCUGAAGAGAAAUUAGCAAGACAAAUUCAUGUCCACAGAUUCAGUGAAUGCACAAAACACAACAAAGCACCUGUGGUAACAAAAAAGUGAAUUUCAAUUAGUGCCUUAAGACACAGUUUAAUACUCUUUUUUGCAUUAAAUACUGGAUAUACUUCAUGAGCUACAUAAUUAGAAUAACAUGCAUAUUUGCUUAACCUUUCUUCACUCGGGAUAUAUGGUUAGGAAUCUUUGAGGAUAUCCUGGUUAGUAAUUAGCAUCUCAUUAUAUGUUACUAUUGUAGUAGGAAUACUAUUACCAAAUCCUUCAUCAAUCUCUGCUGUGAUGCCUGGAAAAUAGGAAAAUAGUUAACUGAUUCCAGAUAAACCUGACAAAAGGAUCCUUCUCAAUUAUGUUGGGCCAACUUCUGUCAGAGUAUAUUGGAAUUGUUUGUGAUGUUCCCCGGUGUGGUCUACUUUGGCUUGGCUGCUCUUUGGUAUUUACCUUCCACCUCAUGGACAGACAUUUGCAAAAUAUUUCAUUGGCUGUUGUUACGCAGAUGAUGCCCAGUGAUUCCACAUGAUUCUCUGGAUUUUGGGGAGGAUAUAUAGUACUAAUUGAUAACUGCCUACCCUCUGUGUAGGCGGGACUAGAAACAUUGAUGCUUGCAGUACACUUGCUCAGUUUCAACUUUUUUCUUUUCUAAAGUUUGACCUUAAUUUCUCCAAAUUUUAUUGUUGUUAUGACUAGAAAUACCAGAAAUACUUGGAUGAUAAGAGAUAAUGAGCAGUUUGCUGAAAUUAGGAGAAUUGGUGACCUGCUAGGGAUUAAUAGGGUGAUCCACUAGGAGUCACUAUGAAUUAUGUGCUUUGUUUAAGUUCGCUGUAAAAGAUUAAGCAAAAAAAUACACUUUGGAGUAGUCCAAGGUAGCUUUUCUUUGGGCAAGGAGCUGACACCUAAACUCCCCAGCAGAUGCUACCUUGGGGGACCCCUGGAAGCCUGGCUGCUGAUAACUUGAAACCAUCUCAGACUUUGGGUAACUAUAAUGUUUGGGGUGCUCAGAACCUACUGCUACAGCAUAUGUGUGUGUGUGUGUGUUUGAGACCUAAUAAAAGAGUAGUUUUAGUAAAAGCACUCUAGUUUGUACCAAUCAUUUAUCAGAUGGAGGAGGUGUGUCUCUCCAGGAGGUGUCAGGAAUAAAUCAAUAGGGAAACAGUGAAGUUACCACUGCUUUGGGUUCUGAAAACCCUGGGUAACAGAGUUGGUGAACUAGCUAGGAGUGGUGGAGAGAAGGGUACGAUUGGUACAAACAGUUUACUGUGCAAGAGGGGAGAAUGGCGAGAUAGUGUAGUCCAUGAGUCAAUUUAUGGAUGCAUUCUGUUACUGGGACCCAAGGCUCAGGCUUGUGCCUGGUCAAGUGAGAAAUUAUGUCAGUUGUUUUAUUCUUGGCACUGAUGUGCUGGAUAGAAAAGAAAAUUGAUUGGUUGCAAAACCCCUGCUCUUGCAAACCAUGGGUGCUCCCCAAGGGAACUUACAUGAGGGGCAGAAUCAGGAGAUGAAAACUGAGAGUGCCAGUGAGAAGAUUAUUGCUUGGUCUCGGUUGAGAGCGAUGAGCCCAUGCUGGGCCUCAUUAGUAACCCACUGAACUCAUUGUGAGUUGGGGAGACAGAGCUCUUUUGGCCCCAGGGCCACAGUAGGAGCUGACAGUGCUUCUCCAGCCAUGGGGCUGCAAUGGGAAGAGAGCUCCUC